rnacentral:lncRNA from 1 species
AAAAUGUUGUGUAUACUCGGACUUUUCCUAAUUGUCCUUUAGAAAGAGAAUUGAGGCAGUUCUUUGAAAAUGAAUCUUGAAGGUUGGAGCACAUUUACUUUGAACAGCAGUACCAGAAGAAACUCAUGAACCUGAAUGGCCAAUGCCCAAAAUUGUUAUAUGCUUGUCUUCAUUUUAGUUUGUGGGGUGGGGUGUCUCUUACCAGUAACAAUCUAUCUUCACUUUUGAGUAAGAUAAAUCCUCUCACAGAGAAGCAACUUCCUUUUUUCUUCCUUUGUAAAAUGUCCAAAUUAAUUGCAUUGUUGACUCCUCAAAUGUAAAUUGGUU